UACGGGGGGGGCAAGCGUUAUUCGGAAUUACUGGGCGUAAAGCGCGCGUAGGCGGUCUAUCAAGUCGGUGGUGGAAUCCCGGGGCUUAACCCUGGAAUUGCCUUCGAAACUGAUAGGCUAGAGUUUGGUAGAGGGUGGUGGAAUUCCUAGUGUAGAGGUGAAAUUCGUAGAUAUUAGGAGGAGCACCAGUGGCGAAGGCGGCCACCUGGGCCAAUACUGACGCUAAGGCGCGAAAGCGUGGGGAGCAAACGGG
rnacentral:rRNA from 1 species